rnacentral:rRNA from 1 species
UUAACACAUGCAAGUCGAGCGGGGAAAGGUAGCUUGCUACCUGACCUAGCGGCGGACGGGUGAGUAAUGCUUAGGAAUCUGCCUAUUAGUGGGGGACAACAUUCCGAAAGGAAUGCUAAUACCGCAUACGCCCUACGGGGGAAAGCAGGGGAUCGUAAGACCUUGCGCUAAUGGAUGAGCCUACGUCGGAUUAGCUAGUUGGUAGGGUAAAGGCCUACCAAGGCGAC